rnacentral:rRNA from 1 species
GCCGGGCGCCGGCGCCAAGACUCGCGCGCGCGCGGGGAGAGGGGAGGGGAGGGGGGGCCGAGCCUAAGGCAAGCCACGGGAGCGAGCGGCGCGGCGCGGCCUGGUUCCCGCGACGGACCACGGCGUCUACGCUCCGCCCCUCUUUACGUCUUCAGCGCCUCUCUGGAGUACUUCUCCUUCCGCCGCCGGUUCCGCGUGCUCGUCUCGCGCCCGCGCCGGCGGCCCUACUCCGCCGCCGCCGACAUGCCGAAGAGGCGGAGCGAGCAGCAGCGCAGGACCCGGCGCGAGGAGUAGGAGUUGAGCGAGCAGCCGGUGCCGCUGCCAGUUGCGCUACCACCUCUGGGCUAACAACGGUAAGGGUAACGACCCGGACCCGGAUGUUACUUACUUCCAAGACAAUCAGGACUACAACAUGUGGUCCUCGUACUCCUCUUAAACCGCCACAGACCACUGUGUACACAAUUUGAACUACUUUCACAGAACGAAAGUCUUCUCUGUCACGACGUCCUUCUACUUCACACAAGGUUCCUACUACGACCUUCACUACUGUACCUUCGACAUUGGUUCCUACUAGUUUAACUAGACAGUCUUCCAGUCCGGCUUCUUGUUUGACAUUGGUUCCUACUAGUUUAAGUGGACAGUCUUCCAGUCCCAGUCCUUCCACGAGACUGGUUCCUACUAGUUUAACUGGACAGUCAUCCAGUCCCACGCCUUCUUCGAGUUUGUUUACUACUAGUUUAACUCGUCAGUCCUCCAGUCCCACUCUCAGGAGUAGACUGUUUGUAACUAAGACAUGGAGUGGGUCACCUCUUCCACCUACGACUUCUACAAGGGUUUGGUCGUUCUAACCGUGCCCAACAGGGAGGACCAGAGCUACUUAAGUUCUGCUCUCGUUAACGACUUUCCCCUUUCCUACGGAGAUCAGUUUGACCGGUACACUAGGUGGCUUCCCUUGGAUCACCAGUCAACAUGUUAAUACGAAGCCGGCGAUUUCCCCGUUUCCAAGACCUAAAAUUGUUCCUCCGGUUUCCGCGAAGGUUAUAAGAUCUGUUUCUAUUCCUAUUCAUAGAGGCGUUAGGAACGAGGCACCUCCCCUUUAUACAGUAGUAUCUCGAAAGACUUCUUUGGAACCAUCUAUGGUAACGUUAACGUUUAAAACUCGUAAUGAGAAGAUUAAAUUUUCUCAAACUUUACGACUCGUCAGAAUAAAUAGGGUGUCUUUUGACCCUUUGUGAACCCUCUAAGUGACAGCGUUUACGCUUCGUACGAGUCUUAAAGUGUAAAGGGCUCGGUUUCACCCGCUCCAUAAACUUCAAGUUAAACGAUUCGGUAAUACCAAGACGUUCGAUAACAUGUGACUCGUACGAACUCCACAUACCUUACCUACGACACCUUUUCUACGAGCUCUUGAACUAAGGUCAACUCUCAUUUUUACGACUUAGACUACUGUUUAGCUUCCUCGGCUAACUCGUUGGUGGAAACUUCCUCGGAUCACCACCUUUUCUGAGGAGUGUCCUUGGGGAACUACUUCUACUUAAACUCCAUCUUCUACUAUUCGGUUUACCUCUAAGUAGUUCCUUACCACAAGUACUAGUCUAACAUCUCUGUUCCUGUGAAGUCCGACCGUCUUAAGGACCUCUAUGUCAAGAAUUCUAUGACUACGUCUUUCAAGUCAGAGAACUACACUCGAAAAGACAUAACCUCGCCAUGGAUCUCCUUGAGUUGUCGUCUAUACCUGUUUAAAAAUUCCUAAAGCUAAGACUAUAACUAUCGUUUCUACGUGAGAACCUCUUCUAUUUUAACCUCAACUUCCUCGAAGUCUCGUCGUUUUUACUGAAACGCUCUCUAUAACUUUCAUAGGAAAGUACCUUCAGUCAACGGAGGAGUGUCAAUCUGGUUGAACAGGACCUAUUACAAUAUGAGUCUAGACUCAUACUCGCUAAAGCCCUAUUCGUCCAACUGGACCUCUUAUCCUCGAAACAACAAUAUAAGGACACAAAAUAAAAACCUACGAAUCGGUAUCGAUUUAACAGGUAUCCAUACUAUAAGUUAUAAACAUCUAAUAUACUAACACUUUUCAACCUAUCCCAUUUUAGGCCUACCGAACACGACGACGACUCGUCGACGUAACACCGGAGGUAAAACCAUUAUGUCACUACACACAUGAGUAGAGGUAUAUUAGCGCCGACGUAUAACAUUAAGGUACUCCAUAGAUUAAGUUUUUUCUAGUGUAGAGACUCUAUAAUGUUCUUAUUUUAGAGUC